UACGGAGGAUGCAAGCGUUAUCCGGAUUUAUUGGGUUUAAAGGGUGCGUAGGCGGAAGAUUAAGCGUGAGGUGAAAGGUCCGGGCUCAACCUGGGAACUGCCUCGCGAACUGGUUUUCUGGAAUACCCCUGCCGUGGGAGGAAUGUGUGGUGUAGCGGUGAAAUGCAUAGAGAUCACACAGAACACCGAUUGCGAAGGCAUCUCACGAAGGGGCGAUUGACGCUGAGGCACGAAAGCGUGGGGAUCAAAC
rnacentral:rRNA from 1 species